rnacentral:lncRNA from 1 species
GCAAGAACAUCUAAGUAUAUUGUUUAAUAUCAAUCCUGCCAGCCUCUUCCAAGGAGAAAAACAGACACAAACAGUACCAGGUUUUGCUAAAAUUCCAUAACAGAACAAGACUACACAAAUAAUAGUUGAUACAACAACAAACAAAGAUUAUCUCAGUUCUGCUACUGAUGAUGAGUCUACCUCUGACCUUGAGGAAGAGUAUAGGUAAGGCUUCGGAGGUAUUUGCAAAGAGUAGUCUUGGUUUCCUUCUAACAUUUCCACAACUUUGCUCAUCGAUGGUCGAUUCGAGGGAUCGGUUUGUAUGCACCAUAAACUCAUUAUCACCAUCUUUCUGGCACAUUCCUUCUCCUCUUCGUUCAUUAUCCCGAUUAGUUGAAGCUCUUCGUUAUCACCAUCUUUCUUGCACAUUCUUUCUCCUCUUCAUUCGUUAUCCCGAUUAGUUGAAGCUCUUCGUCUUGUUCAAUUCGUCGAUAAAGCCAAUGUGGAAAGUAGAUUUCACUUGUGCGAUCAA